GAAGAUAUGAUAGCCUGGAAUCUGGAACAAUUUAGACUUCAAAAUCAUCCCAUCAAGGACAGUGUGGUGUUGGGGUAAGACUCAACCCAGUGAGAAAUGGUCUUCCGUUAGGAUUUAAUGUAUAUGACAGAUCUUGUAUUUGUCAUAGGACAAGAACUUCUCCAGCCUCAUGAAGCAUCAGGGCACUUGGCUGAACUUUGCAUGGAGAUGCACUGUGGGAGGCUGAGGCAGGAAGAUUGCCACAAGUUGUAUGUGUGGCUACUCCUGAGUUUCUACCCUCAUGGUUUGUUCACCCUAGAGCCGAAGGAAACAAGGAGGAGAAGAGGCCAGCCCAGCAGACAACACCCCUAGAGCUAGAAAUUUCUCAACCAGCAGCAACGUCCCUAUUUCAGCAUGGAAGCCACUGGCUGCAAGGACCUCAUUUGGGCAUGCAGAUUUGCACCAUGAGAAGGACAGUUGCUUUCUCCCAGGGCAAUGAUUCUUGUUUUCCUGUGGAAACUCAUGCUGCCAAAAAUUGAUAGUUUCUCACAGCUUGCCUGACAGGUACAAUUGUCGCCUGGAACAGAAUAAAGAGACAAUGCAAAGUAGAUCCUCUAAGCUGCCUU